rnacentral:rRNA from 1 species
GACAGAGGGUGCGAACGUUGCUCGGAAUUACUGGGCGUAAAGCGCGUGUAGGCGGUUUCGCAAGUCCGGUGUGAAAGCCCGGGGCUCAACCCCGGAAUUGCGCCCCGAGACUGUAUGACUUGAAUGCGGGAGAGGGAAGCGGAAUUCCUGGUGUAGAGGUGAAAUUCGUAGAUAUCAGGAGGAACACCAGUGGCGAAAGCGGACUUCCUCGGCCCGACAUUGACGCUCAUGUACGAAAGCGCGGGGAGCAAACAGGGAUUAAGAAAC